rnacentral:lncRNA from 10 species
UGUUAAACAUGCAUAUGUGCCAAGGACUGUGCUAAAGAUUUUAUAAAUUAUUCACUGAGAAUUUAGUGUGUCAUCUACAACAGUAGAUCUUCAUAGAAAUGCAAGGCAAGUGUAAUAAGAGUAAGGUUUUAAGAAGCUUACAAUCUACUUGAAGUAGAGAAGGGCAAUGCACAGGAGAUAACUAGAAAAAUAUUUGAAAUAUGAAAUAGAAAAUCCAAGUGCAGCAGAAAUGGGAAGUAGGAUUGGUAGGCUAUUUCAUGGAAAUCCUCCAAAGUGAAGAAGGACUUUAAACUUGGGAUACGAACUUACUAGCACAAUGAUUAAGCAGAGCUCAGAGUUUUCAACUAAAAAGACCUGUGUUCAGGCCUCAGCUCUACCAUUUUGUGUUUGGUGUUACUGACUUUGGGCAGUUAAUCUAAAUCCUAAUUUCCUUAUCUGUAAAAUGGAGAUAAAAAUACUAUCUCAUUUAGUUCAUGUGAGCACUAAGUAAGGCUUUAUAUAAGGGAGUGGCAUGUCAUACAUUCAGUGUGCAAAAAUACUUGGAAAAUGGAACAAUGCAUGAACUCACGAAUAAAAUAUUUAAUUAACAAUGAUCUUGCAAAGACAUGCAGUACAGAUUUGAGAAGGGAAGACGUUUGAGCCAGAAUUAUUCCCCAGCCAGCCACUUUGUUGCAUUUUUCCAGGAAUUAGGUGAUAAAAGUCUGAACUAGGCUUACAGUCAAUGAAAUAGAGUAAAGGACAUCCCCAGCAUCAGGGGAAGAAUAAAAGUACUCUAAAAUUUCUGGUCAAGGAAAUUAGAAAGAAGUUGGUAUUACCAAUAAAAACGGAGAAGUUGGCCAGUCGCAGGGCCUCACGCCUGUAAUUCCAGCAUUUUGGGAGGCUGAGGUAGGCAGAUCACCUGAGGCCGGGAGUUUGAGACCAGCCUGGCCAACAUGACGAAAACCCAUCUCUUCUAAAAAUACAAAAACUUAGCUGGGCAUGGUGGUGGGCACCUGUAAUCCCAGCUACUUGGGAGGCUGAGGCAGGAGAAUCGCUUGAACUCAGGAGGCAAAGGCUGCAGUGAGCCAAGAUUGCACCAUUGCACUCCAGCCUAGGCAACAAGAGGGAAACUCCCUCUCAAAUUAAUUAAUUAAUUAAUUAAACGGAGAAGUUGGAAAGAGAUGUGG